UUCUUUCUUUACCUGCUGCAAACUCCCGUUGGCUGUUAAACCUCAUCUGUGGGAUGCUCAGCCCCUUCCCAAGGACUCACUGGCUGGGAAAGGGCAGGAUGUGACCAGUGCCCAGGCUAGUGAACCUUUGGCCCCAAACUCAGCCCCUGAGCCUCAGGUCCCAUCUCUAAAGUGGACGGAGCCCUGUGGCAUUGGUCCAGUUCAUUACCAGAAAGAAAUCUUACUGCCAGAGUCUAGAGGGGGUGCAGGAUCUAUUUUUUAAAUGGUUUUUUUUUUUUUGAGUUGGUAUUAGUCCAGAGUUUGCCUCAGAUGUGCAUCCAUGGGUCCAUCAUCUCUGGUCACGCUCCCUCAUUUUCCUCCUGCAACAUCCUCUCCCCAACCCCUCUCCGUUAACCCUGACACCGCACCAUCCCUCUCCCACAAAAACUUCCCAGCUCAUCGGGUUUUCCUCCUACAGAAACUGGAGGGAGGUGGCUUCAGACGCCUGAGGGUGGAAACCCACCCAGGCCCAAACCUUUCUUAUUUUAGCUUCGGUGUGAGUAUGUAACACAGGUCUCCAGCUCGUCUUCUGUCCUAUCUUCCAGGAAAAGGGUUCUGGGAGGAAACCAUCCUGCCUGGAGUGUGAAUAAUGCUGCUGUCAGAGUCUCAGUUUCGAUUUCCCCGAAAGGAGCCCCGGCACAAAGCAAUUAGGCCCUGCCUUGGUAUUUCGCUGCUAUUGAAAUCAGAUCCUAGAGAGGAUGUGAACAUCCUUCUCAGAGGCUGAGUCCCACCACAAUCUCGCACCAAUGUCAAGCUAACUCUCAUGUUCCCGAGUUGAAAAGCGGUUGAACAGAUGGUGGCUGACACCUUUUGCAGGAAUCCUGGAAACCCACCAGUCUACCCACUGAGAGAUUGGUUCAAGAUGGCGGAGUAGAAAGAUGUGUGCUCACUGCCUCUCGUGAGAGCACCAGAAUCACAACUAACUGCUGAAUAAUCAUUGACAGGAAGACACUGGAACUCACCAAAAAAGAUAUCCCAUAUACAAAGACAAAGAAGAAGCCACAAUGAGAUGGUAGGAGAGGCGCAAUCACAAGAAAAUCAAAUCCCAUAACUGCUGGGUGGGUGACUCACAGACUGGAGAACAAUUAUACCACAGAAGUACACCCACUGGAGUGAAGGUUCUGAGCCCCACAUCAGGCUCCCCAAUCUGGGGGUUCAGCAACAGGAGGAGGAAUUCCCAGAGAAUCAGACUUUGAAGGCUAGUGGGAUUUGAUUGCAGGACUUCGACAGGACUGGGUGAAACAGAGACUCCACUCUGUAAUGUGCACAUCAGGACCCAGGGGGAAGGAGUAGUGACCCCACAAGAGACUGAACCAGACCUACCUGCUAUUGUUGGAGGGUCUACUGCAGAGGUAGGGGGUGGCUGUGGCUCACUGUGGGGACAAACACACUGGCAGCAGAAGUUCUGGGAAGUACUCCUUGGCAUGAGCCCUCUGGGAGCCUGCCAUUAGUCCCAACAAAGAGCCUGUAGCCUCCAGUGCUGGGUUGCCUCAGGCCAAACAACCAACAGGGAGGGAACCCAGCCUCACCCAUAAGCAGACAAACAGAUUAAAGUUUUACUGAGCUCUGCCUGCCAGAGCAACACCCAGCUUUACCCACCACCAGUCCCUUCCAUCAGGAAGCUUGCACAAGCCUCUUAGAUAGCCUCAUCCACCAGAGGGCAGACAGCAGAAGCAAGAAGAACUACAAUCCUGCAGCCUGUGGAACAAAAACCACAUUCACAGAAAGAUAGACAAGAUGAAAAGGCAGAGGGCUAUGUACCAGAUGAAGGAACAAGAUAAAACCCCAGAAAAACAACUAAAUGAAGUGGAGAUAGGCAACCUUCCAGAAAAAGAAUUCAGAAUAAUGAUAGUGAAGAUGAUCCAGGACCUCGGAAAAACAAUGGAGGCAAAGAUCAAGAAGAUGCAAGAAAUGUUUAACAAAGACCUAGAAGAAUUAAAGAACAAACACCUAGAAGAAUUAAAGAACAAACAAACAGAGAUGAAUAAUACAAUAACUGAAAUGAAAAAUACACUAGAAGGAAUCAAUAGCAGAAAAACUGAGGCAGAAAAACGGGUAAGUGACCUGGAAGACAGAUUGGUAGAAUUCACUGCCAUGGAACAGAAUAAAGAAAAAAAAAAUGAAAAGAAAUGAAGACAGCCUAAGAGACCUCUGGGACAACAUUAAACGCACCAACAUUCGCAUUAUAGGGGUCCCAGAAGGAGAAGAG